rnacentral:misc_RNA from 1 species
GAUGAAGAACGUAGCGAAAUGCGAUAAGUAGUGUGAAUUGCAGAAUUCCGUGAAUCAUCGAAUCUUUGAACGCACAUUGCGCCUCCUGGUAGUCCGGGAGGCAUGCCUGUUCGAGCGUCACCAAAUCCAACUCAAGCGGUUUUGCGCUUGGUCGUGGCGGAAGAGUCGGUCUGGUUGCCGUCUCCCCUCCGAAAAUCAACGGCGGAAAGUCACUGGCAGUCAGCGUAGUAGUAUCGUUCGCCGAACAUCCAGUGGCAUUCCUGCCGACGUACCCCCACAAUUCUCGUGAUUGACCUCGGAGCAGGUAGGGAUACCCGCUGAACUUAAGCAUAUCAAUAAGCGGAGGA